GCAAAGGUUAGCUCAGUUGGUAGAGCGCUCCACCUGUAAUGGAGAGGUCCCGGGUUCGAUACCCGGACCAGGCG
rnacentral:tRNA from 1 species